UCUGCUUGAAUCCUUCAUGCAGGCAAUAUUUAACAACGAAGAAAAAAUUCAGUCCAUAGACACAAAAGAUGUCUAAUAUUUCAGUAUGGAUCAAAGCAAACAACUGACCAUAUUUUAAUAAACAAUUAGCUAAUCAGUUAAGUCGGCUCAGGUGAGUCAGCUACUCUGAAGCUGUUUUGGACGAAAUUACAACAAAUCAAACCAUUUGCUGAGCCACCACAGUUACUGCUAUGAUUUCUAAUGUACUCACUAUUAAAAAUGAACAGUUUAUACACAUCCUUACAGUUUAUAUUAACAAAACUACUCAAUUUUUGGUAUACGUAACUAGUCUUGACUUUCGCUAGUUAUUUUUUCUCAAAAUUCACGAGUUAGAUGUUAUACACGCACCCUUUAAGUAAUUGCAUCACAAAUCCUAUAAGGUGAGUGUCCUCAGCUUGAGAUGAAAAAUGUCCACCUGAUGUACCGGAAGUAAAACUACCAAACGCUUUUGGAUCUUCAGUCGAUUCAAUCUUUUUCAAUUUGACGUCUCCAGUACCAG